AACCAGGAUUAGAUACCCUGGUAGUCCACGCCGUAAACGAUGAUAACUAGCUGUCCGGACACUUGGUGUUUGGGUGGCGCAGCUAACGCAUUAAGUUAUCCGCCUGGGGAGUACGGCCGCAAGGUUAAAACUCAAAUGAAUUGACGGGGGCCUGCACAAGCGGUGGAGCAUGUGGUUUAAUUCGAAGCAACGCGCAGAACCUUACCAGCGUUUGACAUGGCAGGACGACUUCCAGAGAUGGAUUUCUUCCCUUCGGGGACCUGCACACAGGUGCUGCAUGGCUCUCGUCAGCUCGUGUCGUGAGAUGUUGGGUUAAGUCCCGCAACGAGCGCAACCCUCGCCUUUAGUUGCCAUCAUUUAGUUGGGCACUUUAAAGGAACCGCCGGUGAUAAGCCCGAGGAAGGUGGGGAUGACGUCAAGUCCUCAUGGCCCUUACGCGCUGGGCUACACACGUGCUACAAUGGCGGUGACAGUGGGCAGCAAGCACGCGAGUGUGAGCUAAUCUCCAAAAGCCGUCUCAGUUCGGAUUGUUCUCUGCAACUCGAGAGCAUGAAGGCGGAAUCGCUAGUAAUCGCGGAUCAGCAUGCCGCGGUGAAUACGUUCCCAGGCCUUGUACACACCGCCCGUCACACCAUGGGAGUUGGAUUCACCCGAAGGCGUUGCGCUAACUCAGCAAUGAGAGGCAGGCGACCAC
rnacentral:rRNA from 1 species